UGGGGAAUAUUGCACAAUGGGGGAAACCCGUAGAUGCAGCGACGCCGCGUGGAGGAAGAAGGUCUUCGGAUUGUAAACUCCUGUUGUUGAGGAAGAUAAUGACGGUACUCAACAAGGAAGUGACGGCUAACUACGUGCCAGCAGCCGCGGUAAAACGUAGGUCACAAGCGUUGUCCGGAAUUACUGGGUGUAAAGGGAGCGCAGGUGGGAAGACAAGUUGGAAGUGAAAUCCAUGGGCUCAACCCAUGAACUGCUUUCAAAACUGUUUUCUUGAGUAGUGCAGAGGUAGGCGGAAUUCCCGGUGUAGCGGUGGAAUGCGUAGAUAUCGGGGAGGAACACC
rnacentral:rRNA from 1 species